GUUCUCACUUUGGCAGCACAUACACUGAAGUUGGAAUGAUACAGAGAAGAUUAGCAUGGCAACUGUACAAGGAUGACACACAAAUUCAUGAAGUAUUCCAUAUUUAA